UACGUAGGUGGCAAGCGUUGUCCGGAUUUAUUGGGUUUAAAGGGUGCGUAGGCGGCCUAUUAAGUCAGUGCUGAAAUAUCCCGGCUUAACCGGGAGGGUGGCAUUGAUACUGAUGGGCUUGAGUAAAGUUGAGGUAGGCGGAAUUGACGGUGUAGCGGUGAAAUGCUUAGAUAUCGUCAAGAACACCUAUUGCGAAGGCAGCUUACUAGGCUGUAACUGACGCUGAGGCACGAAAGUGUGGGGAUCAAACAGG
rnacentral:rRNA from 1 species